rnacentral:tRNA from 1 species
CAUUGAAUGGCUGAAAGAAAGCGUAGGCCUCUUAAGCCUAGUUAUAGCAGCUCCGCCUGCUUUCAAUG